rnacentral:rRNA from 1 species
GAUGAACGCUGGCGGCGUGCCUAACACAUGCAAGUCGAGGGGCUCGUUGUAGCAAUACGGCGAGCCACUGGCGCACGGGUGAGUAACGCGUAGGUUAUCUACCCCCAACUCAGGCAUAACACCUCCAACGAGGUGCUAAUACCUGAUGAGGAGGCAGCUCCAAAGACCUUCGGGUCGGUUGGGGAUGAGCCUGCGUCCGAUUAGGUAGUUGGUAGGGUAAUGGCCUACCAAGCCGACGAUCGGUAGCUGGCCUGAGAGGGUGGUCAGCCACACUGGGACUGAGACACGGCCCAGACUCCUACGGGAGGCAGCAUG